rnacentral:rRNA from 1 species
UACGAGGGGUGCAAGCGUUGCUCGGAAUUAUUGGGCGUAAAGGGUAGGUAGGUGGUCUCAUUUGUCAGGGGUGAAAUCCUUGGGCUUAACUCAAGAAGUGCCCCUGAAACGGUGAGACUCGAGUCCUGGAGAGGGUCGUGGAAUUCCCGGUGUAGCGGUGAAAUGCGUAGAUAUGCGGAGGAACACCGAUGGCGAAGGCAAUCCCCUGGGCCUGCACUGACGCUCAUGCACGAAAGCGUGGGGAGCAAACAGG